rnacentral:rRNA from 1 species
AACGUAGGUUCCGAGCGUUAUCCGGAUUUACUGGGCGUAAAGCGCGUUCAGGCGGUUUGCCAAGUCGGGCAUGAAAUCUCUCGGCUCAACCGGGAGAGGUUGUCCGAUACUGUCAGACUUGAGGGCAGUAGAGGGUGGUGGAAUUCCGGGUGUAGUGGUGAAAUGCGCAGAUAUCGGGAGGAACACCGGUGGCGAAGGCGGUUCUCUGGGCCUUACCUGACGCUGAGGAGCGAAAGCGUGGGGAGCGAACAGG